rnacentral:rRNA from 1 species
UGGGCUUUUUAUUUCAUGUCAAUCGAGCGAACAGAUAAGGAGCUUGCUCCUUUGACGUUAGCGGCGGACGGGUGAGUAACACGUGGAUAACCUACCUAUAAGACUGGGAUAACUUCGGGAAACCGGAGCUAAUACCGGAUAACAUAUUGAACCGCAUGGUUCAAUAGUGAAAGGCGGCUUUGCUGUCACUUAUAGAUGGAUCCGCGCCGUAUUAGCUAGUUGGUAAGGUAACGGCUACCAAGGCAACGAUACGUAGCCGACCUGAGAGGGUGAUCGGCCACACUGGAACUGAGACACGGUCCAGACUCCUACGGGAGGCAGCAGUAGGGAAUCUUCCGCAAUGGGCGAAAGCCUGACGGAGCAACGCCGCGUGAGUGAUGAAGGUCUUCGGAUCGUAAAACUCUGUUAUCAGGGAAGAACAAAUGUGUAAGUAACUGUGCACAUCUUGACGGUACCUGAUCAGAAAGCCACGGCUAACUACGUGCCAGCAGCCGCGGUAAUACGUAGGUGGCAAGCGUUAUCCGGAAUUAUUGGGCGUAAAGCGCGCGUAGGCGGUUUUUUAAGUCUGAUGUGAAAGCCCACGGCUCAACCGUGGAGGGUCAUUGGAAACUGGAAAACUUGAGUGCAGAAGAGGAAAGUGGAAUUCCAUGUGUAGCGGUGAAAUGCGCAGAGAUAUGGAGGAACACCAGUGGCGAAGGCGACUUUCUGGUCUGUAACUGACGCUGAUGUGCGAAAGCGUGGGGAUCAAACAGGAUUAGAUACCCUGGUAGUCCACGCCGUAAACGAUGAGUGCUAAGUGUUAGGGGGUUUCCGCCCCUUAGUGCUGCAGCUAACGCAUUAAGCACUCCGCCUGGGGAGUACGACCGCAAGGUUGAACUCAAGGAAUUGACGGGACCGCACAAGCGGUGGAGCAUGUGGUUUAAUUCGAGCACGCGA